rnacentral:rRNA from 1 species
UAGGGAAUCUUCGGCAAUGGACGAAAGUCUGACCGAGCAACGCCGCGUGAGUGAAGAAGGUUUUCGGAUCGUAAAACUCUGUUGUUAGAGAAGAACAAGGACGUUAGUAACUGAACGUCCUCUGACGGUAUCUAACCAGAAAGCCACGGCUAACUACGUGCCAGCAGCCGCGGUAAUACGUAGGUGGCAAGCGUUGUCCGGAUUUAUUGGGCGUAAAGCGAGCGCAGGCGGUUUCUUAUGUCUGAUGUGAAAGCCCCCGGCUCAACCGGGGAGGGUCAUUGGAAACUGAGAGACUUGAGUGCAGAAGAGGAGAGUUGAAUUCCAUGUGUAGCGGUUAAAUGCGUAGAUAUAUGGCGGAACACCAGUGGCGAAGGCGGCUCUCUGGUCUGUAACUGACGCUGAGGCUCGAAAGCGUGGGGAGCAAACAGG